CCUUACAAGAUGAAAAGACACCAUAGAGCAUUUACUUCAUGCCGGUCCCGGGACCAGGGCUCUCACCUACUUUUCUCUUCUUUUUAUUCAUCAGCCCUAACUCAGGGAGAAGUAGGUGGCUGGAAGCUGGCAUUAGGAUGCAGAAAGACUAGUUUCACAGUGCCAUCUCCUGGAGAGGGAUAUCACAUUUAAACUGCAUUUUGCAGGUACCUUCUUAGGUCCGAUUUACCAUCGAGUGCUGGGCAUUUUGAAGGCAAGUGAUUACAGCAUGAUCUAAAGACGAGUUUAGCACAAGUGAAGUUAAUCCAAGGUUUAAACUCCCUCAUUACGCUUCUCAGUAGAAGUCCUGCUUCUUAAAUGCUGUGAACUUCGAAUUGGGAUUCAUAAAAGGGUUAUAGACACUGCUUUACACCUCUUCCCUGCAUGCAGUGAUUGCAGAGGUAUCCUGCAGGGAUACACAAGGGAUACCAUGGCAAAGGAAUCAUCACCUCUUAAAUGGGAAGUAUCAGGGCCAAGCAUCCCUGCGGCCUCCAGCUGACCUGCAGAUCCCUGCCCAGCAUGUGGAGACCCACACGUCAAGUUUUCACUGCAGCUUACUUGCCAACUUUUCUUCUGAUUAGAAAUCACUGUGCAGGGGUUGUGACUGUUCAGCAGAUGGGCAAUGACUGGGUUUAACAUCAACCAGAAAAUCUGAGCCAAUGCAUCGUCUCUGCAGCUAAAGAAUGCCUAGAAAGCGUGGUCUCAGUGCUAAACAAUGGCUCUUUCACCUUAGCAGUAAAUGGAAAGGAAGCACAUGUUAUAUCCAAUAAAUCAGAGCGCUGAGGUUCAAUACUGAGGCUCGUGGGUAUGAGUCUUAUCGAUCAUGCCUGCACUAUGGAAGAGAUCCACUCUCCUAUCAAGAAUUUGCUUACUUCCACCAUUGAUGAACAACUUCCUUAUUUAUUUUGAGUGUUUACUGUCAGGAAAACACCUCCUGGUUAAUGUAUCCAGCUCCUACAGGCUGGUGUUGGGAAGGGAGGCUGGGGAAACUGAGGCAGGAGGAGCUGUGAGACCUUGCACACAGAUGUGCAGUCCCACAUAAAGGCUGUAGUAAUGGAAAUGGAUUUAGACCUCAGAUCUGGGGUAGCAUGGUGCUGUGGUUAUAGAUUUCACUUCGCACUGGUGUUUCUGCCCAACUCUGUGAUGCUGAACAAGUAAUUUCUCCAUUUCCCUUCCCUUUUAUGCAGGAAUCUCCAUAAUGGCCAGACAAGACCAAAACCUCUGAUGGACAAGGAUGACCAGGAGCUCACUUCAUGUUAAGAGCUACCAUGCCCCUUUGGUCCUGCCUACAGGUGACUGGUUUUACUCUACAUUGGCUGACCUCUGACAAGUGGCAGCCUCUGUGCCUCAGUUUCCCCAUCUCCACAAUGGAGAGAGGAGUAGUAAACUUUGUAAACUGCUUGAAGAAUUCACUGAUGCAAAUGCCAGUAUCCUGUCCCUUAUAACUGAGCCUUGCCAACCCAAUGAGCCUUUUCUCGAAAGCAAACCCUGUGGCUCCUCUCCUCUUCCAUCCCUUUUCUCCACUCUCCAGUGAUACAGCUAUGCAGGAUCUAUUCCCUCCUGAGAUAAAUAUUCCUAAAGACACAUCUCUUUUAAAAGCAUCAGGUGCUCAUAGGUCUUAGCUGCACCUCUGAUAACCCACAAGCCUUGAGAAUAUAGGUUCUUGACAAGAAAUACCUUAAAAACUAAUAUUCCUGGCCAGCUUGCGUGCACAGACAAUGCUCAGCUGCAGCACAGUUUGUUCUGCUCUCCUGCUCUUCCUCUUCCUCAGUCUUGCUGCUGGGCAGCUCAUUGAGGUGUGCAGGGUGUGGAGGUCAGUGAGGAUGAGGAAGAUCGCAGUUAUGGUGACCCAUGUCAGCAUUCAGCCCUUAUAGACAGGGGAGGAUUAACAGAAAAUAAAGUACAUCCCUGUGAAGUGAGAUGUUUUCUCAUUUGAAUCUGGAGGGUACACAGCAGAAUGGAUGGCAUCCAUUGCAGGUCUCUACUCAGAAUUAGCAGUUUGGGAUUUCCCUUUCGUCAUGCCCUGGAGCUCUCUCUGGACUGCUGGGGAAUCAAACCACACGGAUAUAGUUUUAGUGACAAAUACAGUAAAAGAUACAUGCAGCAAGAGUCUGAUUCUGCUCUGGAGCUGUUUGGAUCCAAAGACCCAAAGGAAGGAGUAAUCCCUGCUUCCCUGAGAUCUUGCCUAUAGAAAGGAAGCAGCUUGUUCCUGCCACAGUUACACCACGAAUAUUGACCAGCCACACACCAUAAAUACUCAUUUUCUCCCAGGUUUUCUUUUGGAUUGAACCAACCAGCUCCCUGUGAGAUGAAACCUGGGUGCAUUCAGGGGUCACUUGCAGGAUUUCCCUUUGUAGGCAGCGUGACCCAUGAUAGAUUUACCUCCCUCUGUCCUAUAUGGCUCUCCAACACCAUCCCAGUAAACCUCAAUCUCAAGUACCCUUAGGAGAUUCUGCCAGGAUCCCAUGGGAAGGAUGUGCCACAUAAAUGCCACUCAGGGACUGCAUUUUCUGUUAUUUUGCAGUGAAAAUUAACUCUUUCCUUAGAGCCAGAGAGAUUCCUCGUUAAUCCCAGAAGAGACAAUGGUCAAGUACCAACGCAAGGUGAACACGGCAAGGUGAACAAGAGCACUUGGGCCAGCUGUUCCAUUCGUGUUCUCACUCCUUACCAUGGUGGUCUACCUCCAGUUACCCAGGCAGUCAGAUCCCAACAUCCAGUAAAAGAUCUGACAGGACUCAUCCAAACCCACAACCGUGUAGAGAAAAAGGCUUCCUUUUCCCUGGGGAAAUUUCAGGUCUGCCAGAGAAAUGGAAGAGAUGUAAAGAAUAAAACUGUAUUUGAUUUGA